CCUACGGGGGGCUGCAGUGAGGAAUAUUGGUCAAUGGGCGGGAGCCUGAACCAGCCAAGCCGCGUGAGGGAAGAAGGUACAGCGUAUCGUAAACCUCUUUUGUCAGGGAACAAAGGCGUGGACUAGUCCCCUGAUGAGGGUACCUUAAGAAAAAGCAUCGGCUAACUCCGUGCCAGCAGCCGCGGUAAUACGGAGGAUGCCAGCGUUAUCCGGAUUUAUUGGGGUAAAAGGGUGCGCAGGCGGCCUGUUAAGUCAGCGGUAAAAGCCCGGGGCUAAACCCCGGCGAGCCGUUGAAACUGGCGGGCUGGAGUUGGAGAGAAGUACGCGGAAUGCGCGGUGUAGCGGUGAAAUGCUUAGAUAUCGCGCAGAACCCCGAUUGCGAAGGCAGCGUACCGGAUCCAAACUGACGCUGAGGCACGAAAGCGUGGGUAGCAAACAGGAUUAGAUACCCGUGUAGUC
rnacentral:rRNA from 1 species